AGUGAACGCUGGCGGUAGGCCUAACACAUGCAAGUCGAACGGCAGCACAGUAAGAGCUUGCUCUUACGGGUGGCGAGUGGCGGACGGGUGAGGAAUACAUCGGAAUCUACUUUUUCGUGGGGGAUAACGUAGGGAAACUUACGCUAAUACCGCAUACGACCUACGGGUGAAAGCAGGGGAUCUUCGGACCUUGCGCGGUUGAAUGAGCCGAUGUCGGAUUAGCCAGUUGGCGGGGUAAAGGCCCACCAAGGCGACGAUCCGUAGCUGGUCUGAGAGGAUGAUCAGCCACACUGGAACUGAGACACGGUCCAGACUCCUACGGGAGGCAGCAGUGGGGAAUAUUGGACAAUGGGCGCAAGCCUGAUCCAGCCAUACCGCGUGGGUGAAGAAGGCCUUCGGGUUGUAAAGCCCUUUUGUUGGGAAAGAAAAGCAGCAGGUUAAUACCCCGCUGUUCUGACGGUACCCAAAGAAUAAGCACCGGCUAACUUCGUG
rnacentral:rRNA from 1 species